rnacentral:rRNA from 1 species
UGUCAAUAGCCUAACGGCUGAACCAGCAACUUGGAGGAAUGUAUAGCUAAAGCUAAAUGUAUUAUGUAAUAAUACAGAUUCGAUUAAUUCGUAUAAAGUUCUAGAUAGACUUAUGAUAAUGACAUUGUCUAUCUAUAAGUCUUGACCAAAUUACGUGCCAGCAGUCGCGGUAAGACGUAAAAGACUAGUGUUAUUCAUCUUUAAUAGGUUUAAAGCGUACCUAGACGGUAAAUAAAGCCUUAAAUGGGACUAAUUUAACUAGAGUUAGAUGUAAGGGUGCACAAACGUACUGUUGAGUUUAGAGAUGAAAUACGAUUAUACCAGAUUAUUGGCACGGGUUUAGGCGAAAGCAUCACCUUAUGUAAUAACUGACGUUGAGGGACGAAGGCUUUGUGUAGCGAACAGGAUUAGAUACCCUAGUAGUCUUAGCAGAAAAUGAUGAGUGUCAUAGGUUAAAUAUUAUUUAGUCUAUAAAUGAAAGUGUAAGCAUUCCACCUCGAGAGUAAUUUGGCAACAUUGGAAUUGAAAUCAUUAGACCGUUUCUGAAACCAGUAGUGAAGUAUGUUGUUUAAUUAGACAGCCCUCCAAAAACCUUACCACAACUUGAAUAUUUUACAAGCGUUGCACGGCUGUCUUCAGUUAAUGUCGUGAGAUUAUGGUUAAUUCCAUUAAAUUAGCGUAAACCCUUACUUUAUUUUAUUAUAUAAAAUAAUAUAAUAUAAUAAAAUAUAAUAAAAUAUAUUUUAUUAUAUUAUAUAUUAUAUAAAGUAGUUCGCCGGUAUAUUGGUGAGAUAAAAGGGAUUAAGACAAGUCAUCAUGGCCUUAAUGUUGUGG